CCUACGUGCGGCAGCAGUGGGGAAUAUUGGACAAUGGGCGAAAGCCUGAUCCAGCCAUGCCGCGUGUGUGAAGAAGGCCUUCGGGUUGUAAAGCACUUUCAGUGGGGAAGAAAGCCUUGGGGCUAAUACCCUCGAGGAAGGACAUCACCCACAGAAGAAGCACCGGCUAACUCCGUGCCAGCAGCCGCGGUAAUACGGAGGGUGCGAGCGUUAAUCGGAAUUACUGGGCGUAAAGCGCGCGUAGGCGGUCUGAUAAGCCGGUUGUGAAAGCCCCGGGCUCAACCUGGGAACGGCAUCCGGAACUGUCAGGCUAGAGUGCAGGAGAGGAAGGUAGAAUUCCCGGUGUAGCGGUGAAAUGCGUAGAGAUCGGGAGGAAUACCAGUGGCGAAGGCGGCCUUCUGGACUGACACUGACGCUGAGGUGCGAAAGCGUGGGUAGCAAACAGGAUUAGAUACCCUGGUCGUC
rnacentral:rRNA from 1 species